rnacentral:sRNA from 1 species
GAGACACCUUCUCUGGACAGUUUGUUCUGGGAGAGCCUCAAGGCUACGGCGUCAUGGAGUACAAAGCCGGCGGAUGUUACGAAGGGGAGGUCUCCCACGGCAUGCGGGAAGGACACGGGUUUCUGGUGGACCGGGAUGGACAAGUGUACCAGGGCUCCUUCCAUGACAACAAGAGGCACGGCCCUGGGCAGAUGCUCUUUAAUGCCUGUGGAGCUCGGUGGGAGGAGCCGGUCUGAGUCACUGCCACCACCUGGCUCCCCCUGUUGAGAGUGGACUCUGUGCGUGUGUCCCCCAGGAACGGUGACAAGUACGACGGCGACUGGGUCCGGGACCAGCGUCAGGGACACGGGGUGCUGCGCUGCGUCAACGGCACCACCUACGAGGGACAGUGGCACAGCGACGUCUUCAGUGGACUGGGCAGCAUGGCCCACUGCUCAGGGGUCACCUAUUAUGGGUUGUGGAUCAACGGCCACCCAGCAGAACAAGCUACGAGGAUCGUGAUCUUGGGUCCGGAGGUGAUGGAAGUGGCCCAAGGGUCUCCCUUCUCGGUGAACGUUCAGCUGCUGCAGGACCACGGGGAAAUUGCCAAGAGUAAGCAUCUCCGGGGGAGAUGACCUAACGUUUCCAAAAGAGAAACAGGCAGCAGGUUCUUAAGCAGUGAAGAUGCGGACGAGAUGUUGCAUGUGGCUCCUGAGGCACAGCAGUGACUUCGUGCCCAGAGCCUGGCAGAGAGGUCGCAGGCGUGCCAGCUCCCCUACCAGUCAGGGCAGCCUUGGGUGUGCGUGCAAGCAUGUGUGCACAUAUUGUGUGAUGUGCGUGCUCGUGUAUGUGUGUGCAUAUGUGUGUAUGCCUUGCACAGGUGUGCACAGGUCUGAAUGUGUUUACGUGUGUGGGGGGGCACGCGUGCACGUGUGUCAGUGUGUCCUUCCUUUUUAGGAGGAACAGUCUUCCGUUCCAGUGAGGGGCUACUUUCUCCUUCCCCACUCGUCUGCUGGUGGGCAUCGCAGUUGUUUGCACCUUGGGCUGUUAUGAAUAGUGCUGCUGUGAACAUUUGUAUACAAGUUUUUGUGUGAAUGUGUUUUCAUUUCUCACGGGUAUGCACCUACGAAUGGAAUCCCUGGAUCACGUGGUAGAUUUAUGUUUGAACUUUUCUCUUUUUUUGAGAUGGAGUUUCACUCUUGCUGCCCAGGCUGGAGUGCAGUGGCGCAAUGUCGGCACUCCACAACCUCCGCCUCCCGCGUUCAAGCGAUUCUGCCUCGGCCUCCUGAGUAGCUGGGAUUCCAGGCACGCGCCAUCAUGCCCCACUAAUUUUGUAUUUUGAGUAGAGAUGGGGUUUCGCCAUGUUGGUCAGGCUGGUCUCGAACUCCCGACCGCAGGUGAUCGGCCCGCCUCAGCCUCCCAAAGUGCUGGCAUUACAGGCGUGAGCCACCGCGCCUGGCCUGAACUUUUAAAGAAGCUGCUAAACUGUUUUUCCAAAAUGGCUGCAGCAUUUUACAGUCCCGUCAGCAAUGCAUGAAGGUUCAGAUUUCUCUGCGUCUUCCCAACACUUGGAAUUGUGUCUUUUUGUAAUAGCUGCCCUGUGGGUGUGAAGCGAUAGCUCGUCGAGAUUUUGAUUCGCAUUUGCCUAAUGAGUGAUGAUGAUGAGCGGCUCUUGCUGUGUUUAUUGACUAUUUGUUUAUCUUCUUUGGCGAAACGUCUAUUCAAAUAUUGUACACAUUUUUUAAAAAUUGGACUGUCAGUCAGGCACAGUGGCUCACACCUAAAAUCCCAGCACUUCAGGAGGCUGAGGUGCGAGGAUCACUAGAGCCCAGGAGAUCUUUUUUUCGUUGUUGUUGUUGUUUUGAGACAGAGUCUCACUGUGUCACCCGGGCUGGAGUGCAGUGGCG